rnacentral:sRNA from 1 species
ACCACUGAGCUAAAUCCCCAGCCCCCUGUGAUGACCUCUUAAACUGGGAAAUAAGAAGGUGUCUUUGCUUCUUUGCAAUAGUCUCAGGGUCUCCGUCUGUCUACCUGUGGUAAUAACUGAGUGAUGACAUCACCAAGGAUUUUGCAUUCUUAAGACUGCAGUCAUAGGCUCCGUAUGUGAACUCGUUUGCAUCUCUGCGGGCUUUAAAUGUUGCACAACUCCACGGAAGAAGAAACUCUGCCACAAGGCCCGUUCCUAUUGCAAAGCCCCAUGUCUUUGAGAUGUCUGUUUCUACUCCACCACUCUCGGCUGAGGCCAUGUGAAAGCUUAUGUGAGCACCUUGCAUCACAGGAUAAACACGAGGCUGCUCUCUGUCCCUUCAGGACGAAGGAGCGGUGGGGAAGUCACAGGACACUCACCUGAGGAUCCAUCCACUCCCACCACCCAGGUCCAGCAGCAGUGAGUGACCAGAAGCAGGCCAUUGCCAGGUAUCCUUGAAGGGCAGGGAGUCUGUCCAGCCACGCCCAGGAAAGCACGCCCGUCCUGGAGCAUGUUCGGGUGUGGCCUUGGAAGAUAUGCAACUGAGAGCAGAGGUCAGAACAGAACCAGAUCAGAAGGGCUUUGCUUGGCCAGGCCGUUUGGCUCUGCAGCACACCUGGAUCCCAUUCCUAGACUGUCCGGCUCUGAUUGGUGCCCACUGCAGGCUCCGCCUCCAGCUCUUUGGAUGAGAAAAUAUGGACGCCUGUGUUUUAAGAACUGAAACUGUCCUGGGACCUCGGCCCACUGGAGUUUGCUGCCACAUUUAAGGUGGUUCCUCCCAGCUCCGUUAAUUCCAUCUAGAGAGUACCUCACCCACACGGACAGGUUUGUCUCCCAGGUGAUUCUAGACCCUGUCAAACUGGCUGUAUUAAAGUGUCACGUGCUGGUUGCUGUAAGGACAGUCCCCAGAAGCUGCCUUCUCUAAGCACCCACAGUGCUGAGACUCUGGCCUUGACCGCUCAUACUUCAAGUUGGGCUGCAUUUCUGAGAGUUCUGCUACAGGGGCAUGGCUGUGCUCUCCCGGGGCAGGGGCCUCCCCAGGUUCAGAACCCUUGAAUCACCACUAUCUAUCUCCCUCUGCCCUUUUCCCUCCUUCCUGGCCCCCUCUCUUAAAAACCUUACUGUGCGGCAUGGAGAACCCCAGCAGGAGCUCCUGCAGGGAGAGAGAAGGCACACUGGUGAGGAAGCUUGCUUCUUUCUCAGCUGUAGCUGGGGCCAAGCCUACAGCCUCUUGUCAGUAAGUACACCCAGGGCUGCAGAGAAAGGCCCCAUCAUUGGGAAAGAGAAGGGGCUUUCAAGUCUUUCACUUUCCUGUCUGUCAUUGUUCUUAAAGUUUCAGGGUAAAACUAGGGCCUAAUGCAGCCACGAAACACCCGAGCUGUUCAAGGCAGGCCUUGUGCAAAACGCUGCAGGAUUUCGGACAGGAAGUUGUGUGGCUGUGUGGGCGUGAGGACCAGCUUCCUCCCUCUCUGACACUUUCUACGCUUUGGGGACCUUGCUCAGCAGUCUCCCCUCCCCCAAGCCCAGCAGACCCUCCUGAGGCCUCACACAGCCUCUGCCCCAGCAAGAGUGAAAACAGCAGGGUGAAUCCCAUCCUCUCUCAUCCCUGUCCCUCAUCUCCCCUAGACACGUGACCAUUUCUGACACCACACAGGACUUUCACUUCUUCAGAGUAGAAGCACUUGUAGAGUGUCUGGUUUUCGGAAUACUUGUCCUACCCUGCUUUCUCAGAGGAGGCUUGAUCUUGUUAUCCUUGUCUGGGUUCCUUGCCUCUGAAAGCAUAGUUUCUAGGUAACAAGCAGGGGCGGUCUGUAUACCCUGUAGCUACGGAGGGAGUCUCAGGAGUUCAGAAGCUAAUUUGAAUAGAGUUAUUGAUAGUGGAUAGAGCAAUUUGCAUACUGGAACUAAGUGGGUGGCUCUAGGAUGUUUAGGAAAUGACCCACAGAGUCUGUAGAUUCUGGGGCUCCAAAUCCAUUUCUCACAGAUGGGCUACCCUUAACUGCAGUCCCUGCCAACAUUCUGCUACAAGAACAUGUCAGAUUCAGAUUCCAGUAGCAGGAGCCUGCCCUGAUCAGCUGCUGGGAAGGCACUGUGGCCCAACUUGAAGAACUCUUGAAUUAGUGCCUCCCUCUCCUGGAACCUGAGAGCCUUGAUCUACAAACUGAAGGGCAGAAGGCAUGACUUUAACGCUUCACGGACUUAAAAUGCUGUAUCCUGUGAUUCUCCCAGCAGACGUAAACCUUGUCAUCUAACAGCAGCCUUCUUCAGCCUCAGAAAGGAACUGUGCAAUUUUAGCCCUUGCAUGUUAAGAGACCAGGAGGAGGGGUGCCUUCCAAGGCAGAGGGGCUUGCAGAGUAGCCAAUAUCAAGCCCUUCGUCCAGGAAGGGCUACAGUCUAUUCUCUUUCUU